rnacentral:rRNA from 1 species
AUGGCAAGAGAAUGUGAUUGUAGUCCUCUAUAUGCACCAAUAGUGCAUUCACUUUUCACGCUUCUAUGGUUGGUUCAUAUGUGGUUAUCGAAGCAGGAUAAGUUCUUGAGAAAGACUCUAAUUGCUAUGGACCACAAGAUUUCGGAUGUCGCUCCCUAUUGCGUAUUGCCGUUGACAUUGGACUUUCUAUCCAGUAAGAGGGACAUUGGGAUCAUUGUUCAUCUAGAGAAGUCAGUGCCAAAUCUAUGUCAGGACAUUGGGAUGUUAAUGAUUGGAGAUGGAUUGACAAGUACCAAAGAUUGA